GUGAGCCACACUUCAACGGCCGCGGUACUCUAACCGUGCAAAGGUAGCGUAAUCACUUGCCCUCUAAAUAGGGGCCAGUAUGAACGGCUAAAUGAGGGCCUGACUGUCUCCUACGAUAGGCCAAUGAACCUGAUCCCCCAGUACAAAAGCUGGAAUAAACACACAAGACGAGAAGACCCUGUGGAGCUUUAAGUUAACCACUACCCCCCCCCCCCUAGUGCUAACUUUUAGUUGGGGCGACUACGGAGCAAAACAAAACCUCCACGAACCAGGAUCACCUCCACCAAAGGCCCACAAGCCAACUAUACAAAACACCAUGACCCAGCACUGCUGACCAACGAACCAAGUUACCCCAGGGAUAACAGCGCUAUCCUCCUCAAGAGUCCCUAUCGCCAGGAGGGUUUACGACCUCGAUGUUGGAUCAGGGCAUCC
rnacentral:rRNA from 1 species